rnacentral:rRNA from 1 species
CCUACGGGAGGCAGCAGUGAGGAAUAUUGGUCAAUGGGCGCGAGCCUGAACCAGCCAAGUCGCGUGAGGGAAGACGGUCCUAUGGAUUGUAAACCUCUUUUGUCGGGGAGCAAAAGACGCCACGCGUGGCGUUCCGAGAGUACCCGAAGAAAAAGCAUCGGCUAACUACGUGCCAGCAGCCGCGGUAAUACGGAGGAUGCGAGCGUUAUCCGGAUUUAUUGGGUUUAAAGGGUGCGUAGGCGGAAGAUCAAGUCAGCGGUAAAAUUGAGAGGCUCAACCUCUUCGAGCCGUUGAAACUGGUUUUCUUGAGUGAGUGAGAGGUAUGCGGAAUUCGUGGUGUAGCGGUGAAAUGCAUAGAUAUAACGCAGAACUCCGAUGGCGAAGGCAGCAUACCGGCGCUCAACUGACGCUGAUGCACGAAAGUGUGGGUAGCGAACAGGAUUAGAUACCCGAGUAGUC